GACGAACGUUGGCGGCGUGCUUAAUACAUGCAAGUCAACUGAAGCACCGGUAGUAAUACUGGUGUGGAGGUGGCGCACGGGUGAGUAACACGUAGGUAAUCUGCCUUCAGGUCUGACAUAACCCCGAGAAAUCGGGGCUAAUAGCAGAUGAUGCAGCGGCUUGACAUCAAGACAGUUGUUAAAGCUUCGGCGCCUGAAGAUGAGCCUGCGUCUGAUUAGCUAGUUGGCGGAGUAAUAGCCCACCAAGGCGACGAUCAGUAGCUGGUCUGAGAGGAUGAUCAGCCACACUGGAACUGAGACACGGUCCAGACUCCUACGGGAGGCAGCAGUAAGGAAUAUUGCUCAAUGGGAGAAAUCCUGAAGCAGCAACGCCGCGUGAGGGAUGAA
rnacentral:rRNA from 1 species